rnacentral:rRNA from 1 species
GACGAACGCUGGCGGCGUGCUUAACACAUGCAAGUCGAACGAAGUGGCGAACGGGUGAGUAACGCGUAAUCAACCUGCCCUUCAGGGGGGAACAACAGUGGAAACCGACUGCUAAUACCCCAUACUGAGGGGGGGGAUUGCGUCGGAUUACCUAGUGGGAGGGGUAACGGCCCACCAAGGGGAUGAUAAGUAGCCGGUCUGGGAGGAUGAACGGCCACAUUGGGACUGAGACACGGCCCAGACUCCUACGGGAGGCAGCAGGGGGGAAUCUUCCGCAAUGGACGAAAGUCUGACGGAGCAACGCCGCGUGAGUGAUGACGGCCUUCGGGUUGUAAAGCUCUGUUAAUCGGGACGCGGUACCGGAAUAGAAAGCCACGGCUAACUACGUGCCAGCAGCCGCGGUAAUUC